rnacentral:tRNA from 1 species
GCCCACAUGGCUCAGUGGUUGAGCAUCAAAAACAAGGGGGUCAUGGUUCGAUUCCCUGUCAGGGCA